rnacentral:lncRNA from 1 species
CCCAGGCUGUGGUGGAGGUGAUGGGGCCUGCUGGUCAGGGUGCUGGUACUCUGAGUGUGGAGGCUGUAGCCAAACACACAGCUGAGGGCAGUCAAGUCAUUGACCCCAAAGCUCCAGCCUCUUCCAUCUCUACACGUAACAAGAACAGUGUUGUGGGAGGAAAGAGGAUCGACGGAUCACAGCCCACCGCCCCCUCAAUGGUACCCUGAUCAUCACAAUAGUGUGUAUUACUAUAUCAAAGCUAGGACACAGUUUGUAAUGCCUCUUAUUAGUGCUUGCUUUCUGUGCAGGGUGGUGGCCCUAUCCACCGGCAGCUCAGCAUCAGUGUGAGCCAGGUGGGAGAGCUGGGCCUGAUGAGCUGCCUGCUACCAGACCAACUGCUAGUGGACAUCCUCUCAGAGAGACUGCAGGUGACAUACAGUACUGAGAGACACAGAGCCUAUAUGGGCCUCCCAGUCCUUGGUCUGGGAUGGACCCUCAAUGAAUCUCCUGUGUGAUCCUCGAGAGUGUUGAUGAUGAAUGGGAUGUAUGUGUUGUCCCCUGGCAGCUGAGUGACUGUCACCGGGGUGUUGUGAUGGAUGGGCUGGAAACGCUGUACAGCCUCUCCCCCAGCAGCACCCUUCAGAUCAUCCUCAAGGCCUUCAACAACAGAUCCUUCAUCUACAUGGUCAAUCUCUCCAACAACUACUAUGCCUUCAAGGCCAAGGAGAGGGCACAGAGAGAGGCAGAGGAGGUCUUACAGAGGGAGCACGCUGAGAAGGAGAAGCUGCGCUUGCAAGAAAUGGAUGAGGAGGAGUAUGAUGCCCUGCCAGAGGAGGAGAAAGAGAGCAUCGAUCUCAGACACCUUGUGGCACUGAGAGAACGAAAGCGCAGGUAUUGGAUGAAAAAUGCUUAUGCACAUAUUAGGUAUAGCAAUGUGUCUGACUUAGAGAGAAUGGUUUAAACAGACUGGAAUGUGAAUGUAUGUUAAUGUAUGUAAAUGUGAUAGGGAACAAGAGCGGGCAGAAAGGGAACAGGAGGAGAGGAGACAACAAGAGGAACUAGAGAGAGUGAGAGAAGAAGAGGAGAUGAAAAAGAAAAACAAGAAAGGCAAGAAGGAGCCUGCCAAGGACGACUCAUCAGGGAAGAAGAGUCAGCUUGGAGGAAAACAGUCUGCAAGUGCCCUACGCUCAGAGACAAAACUGGACCAGCCGGUGAAAGAUGGGAGAAAAAUGUCCUCCUGUGCUGACGGCAAGGAGUAUAAAGACUCUCCCACAGAGGGCACUAGGGAACCAGAGGAGGGACCCAAGAAGAAGAAGCCAAAAGAAGGCAAGGCAGGGGGUCAGGAUGAGUCUCCAUUACCAAGCGAGGACCCAGAGAGAGAGCUGGUAUGUUACCCUCAUAAAUACCAAGUGAAGCAUAAGAACGCACAGCCAUUACGUGACAAACAUAUUU